CCUACGGUGGGCAGCAGUGAGGAAUAUUGGUCAAUGGCCGAGAGGCUGAACCAGCCAAGUCGCGUGAGGGAAGACUGCCCUACGGGUUGUAAACCUCUUUUGUCAGGGAGCAAAGUGAGCCACGUGUGGCUCAUUGUGAGUACCCGAAGAAAAAGUAUCGGCAAACCCCGUGCCAGCAGCCGCGGUAAUACGGAGGAUGCGAGCGUUAUCCGGAUUUAUUGGGUUUAAAGGGUGGGAAGGCGGGGGUGCAAGUCAGUGGUUAAAUUGGCGGGGUCAACCCCGUAAUGUCGUUGAUACUGCAACUCUUGAGUGCGCGAGAAGUAGGCGGAAUACGUGGUGUAGCGGUGAAAUGCAUAGAUAUCACGCAGAACUCCGAUUGCGAAGGCAGCAUACUGGCGCGCAACUGACGCUCAUGCACGAAAGCGUGGGUAUCGAACAGGAUUAGAUACCCGUGUAGUC
rnacentral:rRNA from 1 species